rnacentral:rRNA from 1 species
UACGAAGGGUGCAAGCGUUACUCGGAAUUACUGGGCGUAAAGCGUGCGUAGGCGGUUUGUUAAGUCCGUUGUGAAAGCCCUGGGCUCAACCUGGGAAUUGCAGUGGAUACUGGCGAGCUGGAGUGCGGUAGAGGAUGGUGGAAUUCCCGGUGUAGCGGUGAAAUGCGUAGAGAUCGGGAGGAACACCCGUGGCGAAGGCGGCCAUCUGGACCAGCACUGACGCUGAGGCACGAAAGCGUGGGGAGCAAACAGG